AUACCCAAUCCCUAAACAAACGCCAUCAUCAAGGGACGUUUAGAAUUCAAACAAAAUUGUCAAGCCUUAAAAGCGGUAAUAAACGGUUGGCACUUAUGUGCACGUACUGAUUCUGCGAAAUAUCUAGAAGGUUUUGUUGGAGUGAAACUUUUAGCCUAAGAUUCUUCAGCAAUUGAUAGGAAACAGUGAUAUAAUAAUCAAACCGUUGCAGCUUGCAGCACUGCUAUCCUAACAGUUCUCCUGACUAGAUUAGGUACAGAUAGCAUGCCGAAUGUAGUGUUGUCACGCGAAUCUUUAUUGUUUUACCAACAGAGUAAAAUGAACGCAAAAGUACAAAGUCGAUCUCUUCCUGUUGUUUUUGAUGACACUUACCAAGAAGAUGGUAACCGGGGAUUAAAGAGUCCUGUAGCUCUCAGGACCAAAGCAUUGCAAGGAAGGAAAGCUGAAACAGACGGGAAAAUCAAAAGUGUGAAACCUCUUCAAGAUGCUGCUGCAUCACAUAAGAAAAUAUCAGAAGAUAUACUUCUAAACACCUCAAAUCACCUCUUACAAGUUGCUCCAGAGGAACAUCACCGUGAACUAAAUGGAUCUAAGAAAAAAGGAAGGGCAAAAGUAAAAGGGAAAGAGUCUACCGUCCUUCAAAAUGCUAGUAAAACUCAAAUAAAUGAGGUUGAGAAAAUGAAAAUUGGCAAGAAACGGGAUUCCAGGCAGAGAUCAAAACGAGAUACAAAAAAACAGUCAGCAGAAAAUAUACAUGAACCGGUAUACGAGCCGUCCCCUAAACGACUAAGGAUUGUUUCAAAUGCACAAAGCUUUACUACAAACAUGGCAUCUGUCAUUGGAGCUUCCUCAAACAUUUUCAGCAAAACUGAUAAACCUAAUCAAACAUUAGAGGAGAAUAUUGAUGCAAAGACCGUGUCUGAAUCUCCUGCAAUACAAAUGGCUACGAAACCUGCAGUGACCAUAGGUACCAAAACACCUGGAAGUACUCGAUCGGAAAAAAAAUUGGCGGUUUCAGCAAACAAUUGCACAGAGCUAGAAGAAUUCGCGGGUGUGCAAUCUGCUAAAAGCGGCCAACAAAAAAAAAACGAGUUCCAGCAGGCAGCGCUGACGGUGGGACAGAACUACCAACGUGUUUACCCAAACGUCCAAUGUCGACCACGAAAGGUUCAGUCUGCAGAAAACAACGCGAACAUAUCAGGACCAACAACAUCAUGGUUACUAGAUGAACCAUUUUCAGAUAAGAAGGCUGACAUCGAUACAACGGAAAGUGAAGAUGAGACUUGCUCCUCCUAUUCAGAAGUAGACGAGGACGUCAUUUUCUCCAGAAGUGGAAACAUUCUUGAGAAUAUAAGCUCGAAUAGUUCAAUUCUCCUAAAGGCUUUGACACGUCAAAACAAAAAGAGCUUUGGAGUCUUCCCUUUCUCCAGAGUUUGAUCAAUGGCAAAAAUGUAGGAAAACUUUGCCAGAAAUAGUACUACCUUCACCCAGGAAACAACUCUCCUUCGCUGAUGACUCUUUAGCGGCUGAUUGCGAUCUAAGCUCUAAAUAUACCGAUGAGCACACAAAUACCGAAGAAAAGUCCUCGAAGUCGUCUCUGAGCAGAAACUUGUUGGAAAAGUUGUCCUCUUCGAAAUCGGAGGCAUCCCGUAUUUCUGCAAAUGCCAGGACACCCAAAGAAGGAAAACAAAGUAAUGGAAGUCCUGCGUUGAAGAGAAAAAGAUCUGUUGGUUAUACAGAGACGCCUUUGCCAAAUAAACAACACCCAUCUUCCCUGACUGCAUCGCUAUACACUCAACCAACGGCAAACGCGGAUAGUGAUCUGAAUGUACGGGAAAGAAGUCCCACUCAACACUCUCAAAUGACCUAUACUGUAGAAAGUAUGCUUGGUGCCAACUGCAGGAUGACACCUAGUUCUAUAUCAGAUCAAUGCACCGCAGUUCCCAUGCCUACCCGACAUCCAACUACAUUAACCUUUACAUGUCUGCUAGUACUUACCGUGUACGAGCACGGCAAAUUGAGUCAACGUAAGAUUUCGUGGUUCCGUGGCUUUACCUGCUCCUACAGUUAUUUUCACUCUACAAACUUCUUUCCGUACCAUGAUCAUGCGUUUAAAGGGCAGUGUAGAGUUCAGAAGCGAUCCGUGUGUCCUAUGUCGCAUGUUGCUGAACUCAGAAGCCAAAUUAGUAGAACUGGAGGCCUGUCCUCUUUUUCAUAUUGCCAAUACAGGAAAAGAAGUUGCAUUGAUCCAGAUGACCGAAAUUUUAUCGGUCGGACCUGCUGGCCACCCUGGCUACAAUGGCGCUCCUGGCAAAGGUGGUCCUCCCGGCGGCCCUGGUUAUCCUGGCAAAGACGGAAAGCCCUGAUCCCCAGGAUACACAGGCGCACCAGGACUGCAGGGCAAACCCGGUAAGGAUGGUCUUCCCGGCUACCCAGGUGGCCCAGGACCAGUUGGACCCUAAGGUAAAAACCGGCCCUCCAGGCUACCCUGGCGGCCCUGGACCAAUUGGACCCAUAGGCCUCUCGGCCCUGUUGGACCCCAAGGCAAACCAGGGGCAUCAGGUUAUUUAGGCGGCCCUGGUCCCGUCGGACAUAUUUGACCCAUUGGCCCUGUAGGAUACCCAGGUAAAGAUGGCUAUCCUGGGAAGCCAGGAUCCGUUGGUGCCCCUGGACCUGUUGAUGCUCCUGGACCGGUGACCACAUACACUCAAGUCCAAGAAGACGCUCCAGCCUCCUCCUACAGUCCACCAGCUUACGAAGCCGCAACGGUUUACACGCAGACGUAGCCACAACAAGUUUACCAACAAGCCCAAAUUUAUCAGGAAGUGUCCCAACCCGUUUACGGUUAAUGGCGAUGCAUCAAAGUCGCAUUUCCUAGUUAUGGUUGGCCCACCACACGGUUUGCAAAGUGAACGUAACUAGGCAUUACUCACCAACCUUAUCUUCUUUUUCCUGUAAUGCCUAAACGUAACUCUUUUUUCUGUUUGUUGUUGUUAUGCGCAUGUGGGGUGUUAUAUGACUCAAUGUGACAUGCCUUGCACGGGGCUGUGAAUGCAAUACCCCCGAACUUAUUAUUUUUGCAAUAUUCACCUAUUGAACUCCUAUGAAAAUCAUUUUAGAUGAGGCGGCCUUGACUCAACGACAACAGAAAUGAAUGGCAUAUUACAGAAAAACAAAGUUAGAUGCAAGGAAAAACCAUGUCAACGUUCCACUUGUAGAAAAAGCAUGGAAAAUAUCUUGAUGAUCUAGCCUUUUUUAGUUCAUGUAGGUCACGGAACAGAUUCAUGUCACAUGAAAUCACUGAUCUCAAAAGCGGACAAUCGAAAAAAAAGGAAUGCGCAUUUUCUUGACUUCGUUUACCGAGUGUACCGAAUUAUCGUUGGUGGUUUCUUUUUGUACACGUACACCUCAUUAAAAAACGGAAACUGAUG